rnacentral:rRNA from 1 species
GACGAACGCUGGCGGCGUGCCUAAUACAUGCAAGUCGAGCGGACCUUUAGAAGCUUGCUUCUGAAGGUUAGCGGCGGACGGGUGAGUAACACGUGGGCAACCUGCCCUAUAGUUGGGGAUAACUCCGGGAAACCGGGGCUAAUACCGAAUAAUUCAUUUCAUCACAUGUUGAAAUGAUGAAAGAUGGUUCUGCUAUCGCUAUAGGAUGGGCCCGCGGCGCAUUAGCUAGUUGGUGAGGUAACGGCUCACCAAGGCGACGAUGCGUAGCCGACCUGAGAGGGUGAUCGGCCACACUGGGACUGAGACACGGCCCAGACUCCUACGGGAGGCAGCAGUAGGGAAUCUUCCACAAUGGACGAAAGUCUGAUGGAGCAACGCCGCGUGAGUGAAGAAGGUUUUCGGAUCGUAAAACUCUGUUGUAAGGGAAGAACAAGUACAGUAGUAACUGGCUGUACCUUGACGGUACCUUAUUAGAAAGCCACGGCUAACUAC